CGACCAUCAAGCCCUUGUUGCUUGCGUUGGAGCACUAUAGCGAAAGCUGUAGGCUCUGAAACUCAGCGGCGGACUUGCUGAGACUCCGAGCGUAGUAGUUUUCAACUCGCUUAGGGCGUCCAGCAGGUGACUCUAGCCGUUAAACCCCCAAUUUUUACAU
rnacentral:misc_RNA from 1 species